ensembl:lncRNA
CCCGUCUGAGUGAUUGUUAUUCAGAGUGUGGCAGUGACGACAGAUAGAGGUACAAGACAGCCUGUUCCCACGUAAGACCCCAGCUGUGGUUGGCUGAGUGUGUGUGUGUGUGUGUUGUCGUGUUUUUCAUGUGAAGAAGCUACCCAGCGUGUUACAGUACUAUACACUCUACCGGCACAGACACCCACAAGACAUUCCUGAAACUAAGCGGUCCACAUUCCACACCUAGCGUUACGAUUCUGGAAGCUGUGCUUUGCUCAUAUAAACACAAUGAGUCAGAAGAAAUAUCUAAAUAUUUAGUGGAACUUUUCCCUUUGCCCAGAGCAAGAGCAAGGUAGAGCAAGAUGGACCAAUACCCCAGUCGACCCGGAGUGAGAGUGCUCCAGAAUGGAGAUGUGCGAGCCAGAAAAUGAGGGAUGGGGGCAUAGUAGCAGGAAGUAGGGGUGCAGCACCCCCUGAUUAAAACAUAAAUAUGUGCACUGGGCCUUUAUUACUCCUGUUUGAGCGGAGAAAAAUACUCCUCAGCACCCCCACAACAUCUUUGGGGGUGUGGGGUGCUCCCUGGCACAGACAGGAGUGGAAUGGAACAGACAGGAGUGGAAUGGAACAGACAGGAGUGGAAUGGAACAGACAGGAGUGGAAUGGAACAGACAGGAGUGGAAUGAACAGACAGGAGUGGAAUGGAACAGACAGGAGUUGAAUGGAACAGACAGGAGUGGAAUGGAACAGACAGGAGUUGAAUGGCACAGACAGGAGUGGAAUGAACAGACAGGAGUGGAAUGAACAGACAGGAGUGGAAUGAACAGACAGGAGUGGAAUGAACAGACAGGAGUGGAAUGGAACAGACAGGAGUGGAAUGGCACAGACAGGAGUGGAAUGGAACAGACAGGAGUGGAAUGGAACAGACAGGAGUGGAAUGGAACAGACAGGAGUGGAAAAGGAGGGAGGAAAGAAACAAGCACAGAAAUGUCUGUUUAGUCCCACCCUCCCCCCGUUCUCACUCUCUCCCACUCUCUUUUUUCACUGUGCAGUACCUUGGCUGUCAGAGCAGGUGUUGGACAGGGUAUAAAGGCCAUCUGGAGUGAGGGAUCGCUGAGCAGUGAGAAUUAAGACCUCCACACUCUGACAGGGCUCAGACAAACCAUCUGGUCCCCCCCUCGCUUAAAGAACCUGUUCCCAGCUUCUUCACACACCGACCUCCAGCGCUCACGCUCUCUCACUAAAACACACAUGUUCACUCACUCCCCUCGAUUAGCAUCUUCAGUCGGGAGGUUAGUGGAUUGUAAAGACCUGCUUCUUCCUCAGAGAGAUUUCUUUGUUUCUUUAUUCUUGUGACUUUUUGGAGUGGAGUCGGGCUGGCAUGGCGUGGAGGAGACGUGCAUUUGGACCCAGCAUGUCAGUCUGUCUCUGGGCUUUGUGUCUGUCCCUCAGUCUCAUCUGGACUUGUCAAGUGACCCAGGCAGCCAUCUACAGACUCGAAGAUGAAGUACAACCUUGAUUAAAUACUCUCUUAGAAAAUAGGGUUAAUGGAGGGUUCUUCAGGUGUCGCUGCGGGAGAACCUUUUUUGGUUCCAACUAGAAACAUUUUACCCAACAAACAACCCUUUAAGAAUCCUUUCAUAAAAAUGUUCUACCUGGAACUAAAAAAAAAGGGUUCUGAACCUGUUAUGGUUCUAGGUAGCACAGAUGGCGUAUCGCUGCAGAAUGCUUCAUGGUUGGAACCACACAUGUGGAGAUCAUUCGUUCACCUACUCUGUGUCUCACAAAGACACGGCGGUUGGAACCAAAAAUCGCAAAUUUGGACUCAUCAGACCAAAGGACAGAUGUCCACUGUUCUAAUGUCCAUUGCUUGUGUUUCUUGGCCCAAGCAAGUCUCUUCCUCUUAUUGAUGUCCUUUGGUAGUGGUUUCUUUGCAGCAAUUCGACCAUGAAGGCCUGAUUCACGCAGUCUCUUCUGAACAGUUGAUGUUGAGAUGUGUCUGUUACUUUAACUCUGUGAAGCAUUUAUUUGGACUGCAACUUCUGAGGCUGGUAACUCUAAUGAACUUAUCCUCUGCAGCAGAGGUAACUCUGGGUCUUCCUUUCCUGUGGCGGUCCUCAUGAGAGCCAGUUUCAUCAUAGCGCUUGAUGGUUUUUGCUACUGCACUUGAAGAAACUUUCAAAGUUCUUGAAAUGUUCUGGAUUGACUGAUCUUUACUGUCUUAAAGUCCAUGUAUCUACAAAGAGGUUUCGUUUGAGCCUGGACAGACCUUCUACAGGGGUUGUAACAAGUGCAACUGCCACGAAAAUGGCUACUUCUGUCUCUCGUGAGUAAACGGACCAAAUUAGUGACAGUAUGCAAGUCAAACAUAUAAACCAAACAUGAAUUCCGUUUUUGCCAAUAUCACGUAUUAUUUUCGUUCAUAUCCCCAGACCGAUGAAACCUACCACAUGGCCCAACAAGUGCCAGCGGUUUCCAACGGAGUGUGGCUACCGCGUGAUUUAUAAGGAGGUGGAGUGUCAAGUCUACAGCUGGAUCUGGUGAAGGCAGACAGACACCUAUGCCCCCCUACAGUCAACAUACACGAUCGCAAGACUCUGGCUGUGGACAACCUCUUCAAUUUAAGUAGUUAUCAUGCAGAGAACUGACCACAUCCAACCUUCAAUUUAUCAACUUGUUCAAUCAAAGGAACCAAUUCCCAAAUUGAACGACCCAACUCCAAAAGUUUAGUCCUUCGUUUCAAUAAAUGUGUGUAGGGGUCAGAUUGUGUGUGUGUGUUAAUGUUACUAAAAAGUGGGACCGAAGGACCUCAAUUGGCACGGAUUCCAAAUGGGCAUAGAUUCAAAUUCCUAUAGAUUCUCAAACACAAGAACACAAGUACCACAAAAAGUAGCAACAUACUCUGACUGUACAGUAGUGUCCUAUCAUCCAAUAUGAGUGCUCAGCUUCCUGCCCUCCUCUCCUUACUUUAGUGACCACUGAUCUUGAUCACAUCGACAGUGUCAUUAUUUUUCGGUAGACAAAAAGUACAUUAAAUUUCCAAUGGAAAGCUGUGGUUGCCCUGCAGCAUUGCAGAGGCAGUUGCAGUGCUUAAUGUAUAAAUUCGAUUUGUCGAACGUAUGUGUAACGACCCUGGGUUUAUAACCGAGGAAAUCGACUCUGCCGCUGGAGCAUGCUUUUGCGGCAGUCGAUAGCGCGCCGGACCUCGGGUCCCUGCUGUUUCAUUACAGUAUGCAUCAAAUCGUAUGCGUAGACGGCGUGACAUAAAUGGUAGCAGAAUGUGAAUGUUGAACUUUUGUUGCACACAUAUCCAGAUGAUGCGUAUAAUUUUACACAAUGAUUAACAUAGUUAAAGGUUAAAUAAAAAUGUGAUAGAGUUGUAACGCCUUGAUCACGCCGAUAGUGUCAUAGCGCAAAAUAGUAAGCGGCAUCAUCUGGAUUUGUGUGCAACAAAGGUUCAACAUGAACUUUCUGCUACCAUUUCUGUCGAGCAGUCUACGCAGUUUGAUGCAUACGUUCGAUAAAUCCAAUUCAUGCAUCACACAAAACACACUAACGGCCUCUGCAAUUCUGCAAAGCAAACAGCGUUCCAUUGGAAAUGAAUGUACUUCUGGUGUACCAAAAUGCAAUGACGGCGUGAUCGAGGCGUAAGCGGCCAACUGAGUAGUUUGAUGAGGACUCCGACCAUAUGUCAAUAUUGUAUCACCUGUUGUUUACGAAGCAUGUGACAAAUAAAAGUUUGAUUUGACCUCGUGACAAGACAAACGGCGUGCUUCUAGAUAUUAUAUUACCCGGCACUGCCCGAGUGUGGCCCUCAAAUCUCAACCAGAUACCCUUCAUUGCCAUGCAGUGUUACAAAGGUCUAUAUCGGUUCCUUCGUAGGUGUUCAGUCUUCUGUAUGUCGCAGACCGCUAUGUUUUCAAUGUGAGGAAGCGAGAGCGCCAUCGGUCAACUUCACAAACCGAGGCUGGAUUUACUCUACUAUGCACGCUCCAUACAGGCUCCGCAAACUCUUUGCGACUUCACCCGCACUGAGAUUUUCGCUGUGCAUGGCAGAGCGUGUAACUUCACACAAUUGUCAGUGAUGAAUUGCUCAGCAGAAAGCUUGACUGUGGCGUUUACUCAGCCUUACAGGGCAACUCCCUAGCCUCACCCGUCGACUGGUUUUUCAGGCUAAGGAUAUAUUUCACCGUUCACGUCACUGUGUAUACAGUAUAUGUAUAGAAUCAAUUAUUUCAAAUAAAACAGGGCAGUGUUACAUACUGUGUAACUAAAUGUCAACUAUUUCUUCAACAGGUUUUUGGGAACGGAUAGUGCAUGAAAUAUCAACAUGGUCAUUUUUCUAAAUACAUCAUCAGUAUUUUAUUAUGAAAAUGCAUUUACAUCUCUUCUGCUUUUUUUCUCUUUUGGAUGGGGGAGUCCACAUAGUCACCACUAUGUUGUGUAAAAAAUAAAACGAGUUAAACGUCACCCCCACACCCCCCAAAAAAUGCAGUGUCCAGUUUCUCUAGGAGUCGAAAGUGAAGAGGUAAAACAAAGACUUUGUCAACAGACCUAAUCAUCCCAAUCCGACCAUCUGUCAGUCCCAGAAAAUAAAUAUCAUGCGGCAAAUUUAGUGUACUAGAUUUCUCUUUACAGUUUAACACAUUUGACACAAGUACACAUGAUCAUACAUUGUCAUUUUUGUUUCAUUUUAGGGGUUAUUUCUUUAUUUAAGGUGCUGGUAAUUUUGGGUGACAUUUCUCAGGAUGUCUUCUGUCAAACAUUCAUUCAAACAGUGAGUACCUUACGUCUGUGGAUGAGGCAAUAAGAAGAAAGGUCAAGUGUCCGGUCAAGCUGGCCAGUCCCUCUUUCCGAAGCCCCAAAGACAUUUACUCUCUGAACGAUUUCCAUCUUCCUGGCACUAGGGUACUACAACUCCCAGCGUGCAUCAGCAAUGUCAUUUAACGUUGAUUGAAAGUCCCCAUGCUGUGGUCAUGGCAGAUGACUAAUUUUGCGUUGUGAUGUUCAUCUUUUUGUUUAGUAUUCCGUUGGUAAGGACCCUAAUAAAAUGGGGGUACAGCAUUCUGUGGAAAGUGAGACUUCUUGAAGCAGCAACAAAUAAGGAGAACACAGCAGCUUUUUUUUAUACCGUUCAAACCAUCCUCCUGUUUUCUUAGGUGGCAUAUGGAAUGCAAGGAAUGGUCAGAAGGAGAGAAAAAUAUAUUCUCAAUACAUUUUGAUAAAACUAAUCCGACAGGAUUCAAAAGAGACGACAAACCCAACAACGGAGUAAAAAUA